rnacentral:rRNA from 1 species
UACAGAGGUCUCAAGCGUUGUUCGGAUUCAUUGGGCGUAAAGAGCGUGUAGGCGGCCAGGUAGGUCUGGUGUGAAAACUCGAGGCUUAACCUUGAGAUGUCAUCGGAAACCAUUUGGCUAGAGUCCGGAAGAGGAAAGUGGAAUUCCUGGUGUAGCGGUGAAAUGCGCAGAUAUCAGGAAGAACACCAGUGGCGAAGGCGGCUCACUGGCCCGAUACUGACGCUGAGGUGCGAAAGCGUGGGGAGCAAACAGG